rnacentral:rRNA from 1 species
AUUGAACGCUGGCGGCAUGCCUUACACAUGCAAGUCGAACGGCAGCACGGACUUCGGUCUGGUGGCGAGUGGCGAACGGGUGAGUAAUGCAUCGGAACGUACCAGGUAGUGGGGGAUAACUACCCGAAAGGGUGGCUAAUACCGCAUAUACUGUGGGCAGGAAAGCAGGGGACCUGCGGGCCUUUUGCUACCGGAGGGGCCGAUGUCAGAUUAGGUAGUUGGUGGGGUAACGGCCUACCAAGCCUGCGUUCUGUAGCGGGUCUGAGAGGAUGAUCAGCCACACUGGGACUGAGACACGGCCCAGACUCCUACGGGAGGCAGCAGUGGGGAAUCUUAGACAAUGGGGGAAACCCUGAUCCAGCGAUGCCGCGUGUGUGAAGAAGGCCUUCGGGUUGUAAAGCACUUUAGGUGGGGAAGAAAGUUAAUGGGCGAAUUACUCAUUGCUAUGACGGUACCCGCAGAAUAAGCACCGGCUAACUCUGUGCCAGCCGCCGCGGUAA